GACGAACGCUGGCGGCGUGCUUAACACAUGCAAGUCGAACGGAAAGGCCUGCUUUCCCUUGUGGAUUGCGGGUACUCGAGUGGCGAACGGGUGAGUAACACGUGAGUGAUCUGCCCCCAACUUGGGUAUAAGCCUGGGAAACUGGGUCUAAUUCCCGAUAGGACUGCAGGGUGGUGCCUGUGGUGGAAAACGAUUUUCUAGUGGUUGGGGAUGAGCUCGCGGCCUAUCAGCUUGUUGGUGGGGUAAUGGCCUACCAAGGCGGCGACGGGUAGCCGGCCUGAGAGGGUGGACGGCCACAUUGGGACUGAGGUACGGCCCAGACUCCUACGGGAGGCAGCAGUGGGGAAUAUUGCACAAUGGGCGGAAGCCUGAUGCAGCGACGCCGCGUGGGGGAUGACGGCCUCGGGUUGUAAACUCCUUUCGACCGCGAGGAAGCCACCUGGUUGGAAGGGUGGUGACGGUAGUGGUAGAAGAAGCACCGGCUAACUACGUG
rnacentral:rRNA from 1 species